UACAUGUGGGGCAAGCGUUGUUCGGAAUUACUGGGCAUAAAGGGUGCGUAGGCGGUUUGUUAAGUCACUGGUGAAAGUUUUCGGCCCAACCGGAAAAUUGCCUGUGAUACUGGCGAACUUGAGUGCGUGAGGGGUGGGGGGAACGAGCAGUGUAGCGGUGAAAUGCGUAGAUAUCAGGAGGAACACCGGUGGCGAAGGCGGUUCUCUGGGCAUGUCCUGACGCUGAGGAGCGAAAGUGUGGGGAGCGAACAGG
rnacentral:rRNA from 1 species